rnacentral:misc_RNA from 1 species
GAUGAAGAACGUAGCGAAAUGCGAUAAGUAAUGUGAAUUGCAGAAUUCAGUGAAUCAUCGAAUCUUUGAACGCACAUUGCGCCCGCCAGUAUUCUGGCGGGCAUGCCUGUUCGAGCGUCAUUUCAACCAUCAAGCCCCCGGCUUGUGUUGGGGACCUGCGGCUGCCGCAGGCCCUGAAAACCAGUGGCGGGCUCGCUAGUCACUCCGAGCGUAGUAGCAUACAUCUCGCUCUGGGCGUGCUGCGGGUUCCGGCCGUUAAACCACCUUCAUAACCCAAGGUUGACCUCGGAUCAGGUAGGAAGACCCGCUGUACUUAAGCAUAUCAAUAAGCGGAGGA